rnacentral:tRNA from 1 species
GGAAGAGUGUCCGAGUGGUCGAUGGUGAGGCACUAGAAAUGCCUUGUACAGCGAUGUACCGUGGGUUCGAAUCCCACCUCUUCCUCCA